rnacentral:pre_miRNA from 1 species
UAUUAAAAUUUUCAUCUAUUUUUAUUGUUAAAAACUAGCGUGAUUGAUAAAAUAAUUCGACAAUGACACUUGACGUGCCAUGUGUGCCUCGUUUAGAUGUACAAGGCCCAGUUUUAAUACCAGAAAUGAAUAAAAUUUUUAACG